AGUGCUCAGAGCAGCAGGAUGGCACUUGGUGUCUGGAUGCCUUUGGAGUUGCACAUACAGCUUCUUUAUGAAAGGAAGAAACUGGAAGACAACAAAGGGUCAGAGAGGAGGGAGAAGGCUGUGCUAAACAAGGUGCUGGCAGUGUCAGGAGUUGGCCUCCUGCCCUCUGGGUUGAGAGAUAUCGAAUGCUGCUUUGCCAAGAGCUGCUUUCUUGGGCCUCUCCAAGGUUCUCCUAUUUGGACUCUGCUGCAGAUCCCUUGCCCUGGGAGGAAGCAGGAAGAAGCAAGAAGUCAUCAAAACUUGAAAAACCCUGAAUCAGUCAACAGAUAUCCAACAGAAAACGUGGGAGAAGAGGGAUAUGAAGCCAGCAGCUAACACUGGGAAAGUUCAGAUCAUCUCUAAUAAUAGAUCUUUAUAAACAACGAGUGGCAGAACUCAGAGAGUGGGAGAGUGUUCCCUGUCUAUAAUCCAGCCACAGGAGAACAGGUGUGUGAAGUUGAAGAAGCAGACAAGGCAGAUAUAGACAAAGCAGUGCAGGCAGCCCGCCUGGCUUUCUCUCUUGGUUCAGUGUGGA
rnacentral:sRNA from 1 species